GAGAAAUUUGUUAGGAAAAUCUAUAUAAAUACUGCUACGACUCUCAGGUUUUACUCAUUCAGUCGCUUCCUUCUGUUGGGAUUACAACUAAAUCAAUUUUUCCUUAUUCCUACAAAAAUUAUAAUCAACGUUUUAAAAAAGUUAUUAUUCCCUAUUUAAAAACAUCCCAUAAAACAUUUUUAUUUUCCAAAAACAGCAAUAGCAAUACAGCCUUGAUAGAGUCCAUCUUGUCACUUAUACCGUUUAAAAUUGUGGGUCAUCAAUACAAUGGUCUCUGGACAAUGGAUUACAUCGGAAACUGAUUAAGAGGGAAUCCUGCUCUUUCUGUUCCGGCAUUUAUACUCCUUAUCAAACAAGACGCUAUCCUAUUUAUAACUAUCUCCGUCUGGAUUAUCAAACAUAUUACUUUACUUUUUCGCGCGAUUGGACUUACGCACGAUUUAAAGAGGUACUUUCAGGCCUUGUUUUUGGCUUAUGUUAGAUUUAUUUUCCCACAUGCGUAUGGACCGAUACAGUUGAAGUCUUUUAAAGCCUUUUCUAGCUCCUGCAAAACAAGAUGUUUUUAAAGUCCAACAUGCAAAAAUUUCAUAAUAAAUGAACCUUGAACGGCUUCAACAA